UUUAACAGGACCUAGGAAUGCAGUGCACCUAUGCUGUGUAGUGAUUACAUAAACCUGUGAUCCGACUCACGUAAACACACAAGCAGGUACGCAAUCCAGCACACCCUUCAUCCCAAAUCAAAAUACACCCCCGUGCCUGUACACGUGCCGACACACACACACACACACACACACACACACAAAGGCCGACAAAAAUGCAUAAUUCACACAGAGAAGAUCGAGA